GGGCCAGUAGCUCAGUUGGUAGAGCACAUCCCUUUUAAGGAUGGGGUCGUGCGUUCGAACCGCACCUGGCUCA
rnacentral:tRNA from 1 species